GCUAGUAGCCAUUGCUGGACCUACUGAUCCCCCCCCAAAUUUAAGAUGAACUUUCUAACAGGUGUCUGAGUCCGUGCUGGGUCUGGCUACGUGCUGGCUGGUGGAAAUAACGCAGUCCGUAUUGGGGGAGGGGGGAGACCAUCCCCCAGUGAGCUAGCCCCGCCUGUGCCCAGCCCCCGGCUGCUCCCCGGGCUGGGCGCAGGGGGAGGGUGGCAACCCGGGCGCCGCUCUCCGCCCCGCUCACCUGCGUCGUAGAAGGCGUCCAGCACCGCCGUCUCCCCGAAGUCCAGCUCCCCGAAGUUGACCGUGCCUCUGUCCGGAUUUUUCACACUUGCUGUCUGGUCACCUCGCCCCAAACCGCCUGCGGAUCCGCCAGUCGGGGCAGCAUCUCACCUGCCGCCCCCGCCGCCGGCUCCUGGCCAGACCCGAGUUUCCUGUUCAAAGCCUCCCGGUCCCGGGUCCGCAGAGCCUCCGAGCGGUUCCCCGACCUGCCCGGGCGGCUGGGCUCAGCGCCCGGAGUGCAGGCUUUACUCUUCUGUUACAUCCUUACAUAAAUGUUGAUUUUUUUUUCUA